rnacentral:rRNA from 1 species
UUUUAUUGUUAAUUUAGAUUUAUUGAUCUUUAAUUAAUUUAUUAAUAUACUGUAUCAAAUUUAAAUUUAUGGGUAAUUAUGAUUAAAUUAGUAUAAUUUUAAUGUAAAUUUAAUUACAUUUUUAAGAUAAAAUUAAGGAAUUCGGCAAAUUUAUUUUCUGCCUGUUUAUUAAAAACAUGUCUUUUUGUAAUUAUUUAAAGUCGGGCCUGCCCUAUGAUUAUUUAAAUGGCCGCGGUAUUUUGACCGUGCAAAGGUAGCAUAAUAAUUAGUUUCUUAAUUAGAAGCUGGUAUGAAUGGUUUGACAAGAAAAUUUCUGUCUCAAUUUUAUUAUUAGAAUUUAACUUUUGAGUUAAAAGGCUUAAAUGUUUUUGAAAGACGAGAAGACCCUAUAGAAUUUUAUAAUUAAUUUAAUUAAGAUUUUAUGGAUUAUUUAUUUUUGAUUAGGUUAGUUAUUUUGUUGGGGUGAUGGAAAAACUUAAAUAACUUUUUCUUAUUUAUUCAUUAAUUUAUGA